GAUGAACGCUGGCGGCGUGCCUAAUACAUGCAAGUCGAGCGAACAGACGAGGAGCUUGCUCCUCUGACGUUAGCGGCGGACGGGUGAGUAACACGUGGAUAACCUACCUAUAAGACUGGGAUAACUUCGGGAAACCGGAGCUAAUACCGGAUAAUAUAUUGAACCGCAUGGUUCAAUAGUGAAAGACGGUUUUGCUGUCACUUAUAGAUGGAUCCGCGCCGCAUUAGCUAGUUGGUAAGGUAACGGCUUACCAAGGCAACGAUGCGUAGCCGACCUGAGAGGGUGAUCGGCCACACUGGAACUGAGACACGGUCCAGACUCCUACGGGAGGCAGCAGUAGGGAAUCUUCCGCAAUGAGCGAAAGCCUGACGGAGCAACGCCGCGUGAGUGAUGAAGGUCUUCGGAUCGUAAAACUCUGUUAUUAGGGAAGAACAAAUGUGUAAGUAACUAUGCACGUCUUGACGGUACCUAAUCAGAAAGCCACGGCUAACUACGCG
rnacentral:rRNA from 1 species